rnacentral:misc_RNA from 1 species
CGUCAUUACAAACCUCAAGCUCUGCUUGGUACUGGGUGCGGCUCCGUGAGGGGCCCUCCUCAAAGUCUUCGGCGGUGUUGCCCUGCUUCGAGCGUAGUAAAACCUCUCGCUUUGGAAGUAUAGUGGCCUCACCCGCCGGGAAAACCCCCCAUUUUCUCAAGUUUGACCUCGGAUCAGGUAGGGAUACCCGCUGAACUUAA